rnacentral:rRNA from 1 species
UACGUAGGGUGCAAGCGUUAAUCGGAAUUACUGGGCGUAAAGCGUGCGCAGGCGGUUCGUUAAGACAGAUGUGAAAUCCCCGGGCUUAACCUGGGAACUGCAUUUGUGACUGGCGAGCUAGAGUAUGGCAGAGGGGGGUAGAAUUCCACGUGUAGCAGUGAAAUGCGUAGAUAUGUGGAGGAAUACCGAUGGCGAAGGCAGCCCCCUGGGAUAACACUGACGCUCAUGCACGAAAGCGUGGGGAGCAAACAGG